rnacentral:rRNA from 1 species
AUUGAACGCUGGCGGCAGGCCUAACACAUGCAAGUCGAGCGAGCGGCGGACGGGUGAGUAAUGUCUGGGAAACUGCCUGAUGGAGGGGGAUAACUACUGGAAACGGUAGCUAAUACCGCAUACCAUCAGAUGUGCCCAGAUGGGAUUAGCUAGGAGGUGGGGUAACGGCGCACCUAGGCGCCGAUCCCUAGCUGGUCUGAGAGGAUGACCAGCCACACGGGAAAUGAGACCCGGUCCAGACUCCUACGGGAGGCAGCAGUGGGGAGUAUUGCACAAUGGGCGCAAGCCUGAUGCAGCCAUGCCGCGUGUAUGAAGAAGGCCUUAGGGUUGUAAAGUACUUUCAGCGAGGAGGCGUUACUCGCAGAAGAAGCACCGGCUAACGCCGUGCCAGCAGCCGCGGUAAUAC